ACUGCAUUUCUAAUGCAGUCAUCUUGACCCGCUUCUCUUUGUUUUUUUAUUAUUUACCGUUCUUCGGUAGAGUCCUGUAGUCCUAUGUCCUAUGAUAGUUUUAAACUUUUUAUAAUAAAUUUGUUGAACAUGUAUUAUUUAUGAUAAUAUACCACGCUGGGAUACCUCAUAUGUACAUAAAUACAUAUUUGAUUUUGUAAUGCAGUGUAAAUUAUAAGAAAACACACAAUGUAGAUCAGCUCAACUCUCUUGAAUUCAGGAAUAUUACCUACUGUUGAUCUGCGAUAGCGAAUAAUACUACGUAGGACCGGUUACGGAACGAGAUAUUUACUGCCUCAGUCACCAGUGUGGACUUGCGCCUUAAGUGAGAUUCUAACAUAAACAGUGCCGGCGAAAUAUAUUCUUCCACCAAUCAGAUAAGUUUCAAUCCACAUCCAACGGUUCGAACU
rnacentral:misc_RNA from 1 species